rnacentral:rRNA from 1 species
UACGUAGGGGGCUAGCGUUGUCCGGAAUCAUUGGGCGUAAAGAGCGUGUAGGCGGCCCGAUAAGUCCGCCGUGAAAGUCCAGGGCUCAACCCUGGAAUGCCGGUGGAAACUGUCGGGCUGGAGUCCGGAAGAGGCGAGUGGAAUUCCUGGUGUAGCGGUGAAAUGCGUAGAUAUCAAGAGGAACACCUGCGGCGAAGGCGGGUUGCUGGGCCGACACUGACGCUGAGGCGCGAAAGCUAGGGGAGCGAACGGG